UACGUAGGGUGCGAGCGUUGUCCGGAAUUAUUGGGCGUAAAGAGCUCGUAGGCGGCUUGUCGCGUCGUCUGUGAAAUCCCGCGGCUCAACCGCGGGUCUGCAGUCGAUACGGGCAGGCUAGAGUUCGGUAGGGGAGACUGGAAUUCCUGGUGUAGCGGUGAAAUGCGCAGAUAUCAGGAGAAACACCGGUGGCGAAGGCGGGUCUCUGGGCCGAUACUGACGCUGAGGAGCGAAAGCGUGGGGAGCGAACAGG
rnacentral:rRNA from 1 species